rnacentral:sRNA from 1 species
AUUCUGCCCAUGCGGGGAAGGAUGAGAAGCUUCGACCAAGGUUCGACUCGAGCGCCAGCGAGAGUGCGUUGCCGCAGGCAACGACCCGAAGGGCGAAGCGCGCAGCGCUGAGUAAUCCUUCCCCCACCACCA